UUGAGGUCCCUUGCAUUUCCUUUCGUCCCUCUUCCUUGUAAGUCGAAAAAAACCAUAGAAGGAGCGAUCACGUUGUUUACCGAGAUCGACGGCUUACAUUCGUCCUCGGUUUUCAAUUUGGGACACUCACUCCACCGAGCCCUCUCGGCGGCAAAAAAAAUAAAAAAAAAUAAAAAAAUCUCCAGCUCAAAUUUAAAUCCUCAUCUCUCCCCGUCUCGACAUCGUCAUCAAUGGAAGGAGAAGGGAGACGCAAAGGCCAGGAGAGGAAAGCCAAGAGACAGGCCAAGAAGCAGCAAGAAGAAGAAGAGGAGAAAGGAAAAGCCCAAGAAGCCGCCGCCGCCGUCGCCGUCGUCAAAGAUGUGGAAGACUUCACCAUGGAGGAAGCCCAGAGAAUCAGGGGCUCGCUCCUCAGGUGGUACGACGAGAACCACCGGGUCUUGCCCUGGCGAACGGCGAGCAGCAGCGAUCACCAGAAGAAUAACGAGGAGGCGAGAGCAUAUGCGGUGUGGGUAUCUGAGGUGAUGCUGCAGCAGACCCGAGUCCACACCGUCGUCGCCUACUACAACCGCUGGAUGGCCAAGUGGCCCACCCUCCACCACCUCGCCGCCGCCUCCCAAGAGGUACUUGAUUAAAAAAAAUACAAAAAAAUCGACUGAGCUCACUACCAUUUCAUCAUUAAACUACAUUUGAUUGCCUGCUUCGCAGGAAGUGAAUGAGAUGUGGGCUGGCUUGGGGUAUUACAGGAGGGCGCGCUUUCUAUUGGAGGUGCAUCUUUUUUUUUACUCUAUAACUUUGAUGCAUUUUCCAUGAUAAACAACGAAACAAGCAAGAAAGAAAACCAUCUGACGGGAAAAAUGGGACCUUUCAAUGCUUCGUAGAGCCUGGUUUCCUAAUUGCCCUGCCAUCUCUAAAUUAUUGCCCUUUCUUUUAAUUUUUGUUGUGUUACGUUGAUGCUUUGAAUAAGAAAAUACAAACUUAAUAUCUAGAUUUCUGAAAUAGUUAAUUCAUUGGUGUGGCGGGUGGUGAAUUAGGGGGCCAAGUCCAUUGUUCGAGGAGGAGAAUUUCCUCGAACAGCUGCUGCACUUCGUGGGGUUAAAGGGAUAGGAGAUUACACAGCAGGGGCUAUUGCUUCUAUAGCUUUCAAUAAGGUAUUCUUAAAAGCUUUGUACUUACUUCCUUUUUUUUUCCAGGCUUAAGAACAUUGGAUGUGAACUGUUCAGUUUGAAAUGGUUUCCAUGAUUUCAGGUGGUCCCUGUUGUUGAUGGAAAUGUAGUAAGGGUGCUCAGCAGGCUUAAAGCCAUCUCUGCAAACCCAAAAGAAGCUGCUACCGUCAAGAGUUUCUGGUGAGCAUCAAUGCUAUUGCUAUUGUUCAUGGAAUGGGAGAAAACAUCUUACCAAUUCCUGCUCUCUUUUUUCCAUAUACACCAGACCCUCGCAAUGCUCCUGUGAUGUGCUGGAUAACUUUUCUAAUUUUGCUCAUAACAUAUAGGACUCAUUUGGUUCACAGGAAGAAUUUUUUUUAUUAAAAUAUUUUUUCUGCGAAGAUGAUUUCUGGGAAUAUGAUGCCCAGAAAAAUGGUUUUGGCAUGUUUGGUUGAUCAUGGAAAAGUGUCACAUUUCAGAAUGACUUAUAUUUAGUCGAGUACAUACUUUCCGGAAAAAAACUAUAUCACAUACAUAUUAUACCCUUAAUAAAGGAAAAGAUGUUAUCCAUGGAUUUUGAUGACUAAGGGUACUUUUGGAAAAAAAAAGAGACUCUAAUUUCCAACUAGUGGGAAAGUAGCUUUUCCAUAUUCCCGAUGAAUUUUUUUCCCCAUAAAACAUGGAAAUCUUAUUUCCAUGGGAAUGCUACUUUCCCAUCUUUCUCCUUAAAAUCUUCAACUAAACAAGAAGCAUUUCUUUGUUUUUCGUCGACCACACUUUUCCUUCUUUUUAUUCCUACAAACCAAACGAGUCCAUAGUUCUCUUAAAGAUUAGCAAGAAUUCCAAUGAGUUAAGUUUCACAGUUUUCAUGGCCAAUUUGAUAAUUGAGUAAAGUUCAAUAUACUCAACAUUUAAUGCUUGCUAUGAAAACUGUUGCUGUUGGUCACAAUUGAACUUUAUUAUGCUGUUUUUAGCAAUAUAUUUUUGUUUUCUUCUGUGAUUAAACUCAGAUUUCAAACUUCAGUAUAAGAUAUCUAAGUUCAUUUGUGACGUUGUAGGAAGCUAGCUGGGCAGCUAGUUGAUCCUUCAAGACCGGGAGAUUUCAACCAAGCCAUAAUGGAACUCGGGGCAACCUUGUGCAGCACCACCAACCCUGCAUGUUCUACAUGCCCAAUUUCUGACCAGUGUCGUGCAUUUUCACUCUCCAGAAACAGUGAAACAGUCAAGGUCACAGAUUAUCCGACAAAGGUUGCGAGGGCCAAGCAGCGCCAUGAUUUUGCUGCUGUUUGUGUUGUUCAAAUAGCAGAAGGUUCUGAUCAGGAGGUUUUGAAGGAUAGCAACAAGAAACAUGCAUUUCUUCUGGUCAAAAGGCCAGAAGAAGGAUUGCUUGCUGGGCUCUGGGAGUUCCCAUCAGUUGUAUUAGAUGAAGAAAGGAUGGAUAUGGGUACGAGGAGAAAAGCAAUGGAUAAGUAUCUGAAGAAGUUAUUUAAUGUUGAUGUGGGAAGAAAUUGCAAUGUGAUUCUAAGAGAACAUAUUGGGGAGUAUGUUCAUGUUUUCUCUCAUAUUCGACUCCAAAUGCACAUUGAGUUGUUGAUCUUGACCAUGAAAGGUUUGAACCUACUGGCUCUCUAUAAAAAAAAUAUUGUUGCUUUGGUCAGAUGUUGGUAGGAUCAUGCUUGUCAUUUACUUAUGCAGUCUUAUAUUGUUUAUGAAGGUGGUUUGAAGCUAUUGGGAGAUGAUGAGGAUCACAGCACGAUAUCAUGGAAAUGUGUGGAUGGAAGUUCUAUUGAUAGCAUGGGACUAACAUCUGGAGUACGAAAGGUAAUUUCUUUGAGCAUGCUGCUUGUAGCUUUGCAAUUAAAUUUUAGCCUUAUAGAUGAGUAGUAUAUGAGACUAAGUUGUCAGGGAAGGCUUAAUUUUGAGCAUCCAGCUCAGUCUGUUGGAUUUAUUCCUGUAAUUCGGUGAUUAUGGAGUAUUUUUUUUUUUUUUUUUAUAUGCAGGUCUACAAUAUGAUUCAGAAUUUUAAACUGAAACAAAUGUCAGCACAUCCAAUCAGGGCACCAAGGAAGAAGGCGAAAAGAUCAAGUUCAUGAGAGCAAUCUAAUUGGAUAUAGCUUGAAUUGAUUAGAAUCCGUUUGAUUUCUUGACCAGAUAUAUUUAUUGCCAAAUAUGGCUCGCAUGCUAUCCUCUGAUUGUUGUCCCUAGUUGUUGUCAGUCAUAUAACUAAAAAUCUUGAUUAUUGUGUCUAUACAUAUAUAUGUGUCUGAAAUUAACAAGGAGAAGGUGGUCUAUUCCCAGAUGGUGAAAGGCCAGAAUUUUUCCUCAAAAAAAGUUUGAUUGUAGAAUUGCUUUUUGAAAGGCCAUAUUCUGCAAUUAGAUGUCUGCAAUGCAAGUAUAGAAUAGGAAGCUUUUUAGGAUGGGUUUUUCCAUCUACUCUGAAAAGAAAGAGCAACAGAAGACGGACAGGAAAAAAAAUAUUAUGCUGCAAAAGAGAGCCAGAAGUAACAGCUUAAGUACCUUAAACAUAAAUUUGACAGCAAAUUGAUAUGGUCUGACAGCGUACUUUUAUACUAUCAUACUAUCAAACUCCAAAGGAAAAAGAGAGCAAAAAGGAUAAAAAAAACAACUCAAGACUCCAGAGAUACAUGGCUAAUGCAUAGCAGUCAUGGAUAAACUGCAACACAACUUGUGCUGUUAUUAUCCUGGUUGCUUCAGGUUAAUCUUCAUAGUGUGUGAGAUCAAUCUGGAAUGGCUUUUUCCCCUUGCUGACUCUCUGUACACAUGAACAAAAGAGAUCUGACAUCAGUGAUAGACUAUAAUAUGAGUUUCACAAUUUUGUAGAUCAGUUUUAGGGAAGGAUGCAAAUACAUGCUGCAAUUGCUAUGAGCUCUUCUAGUAGCUCUUCCAAGCGGCGCAAAGGCUAUAAUAUUAAUAUUAUGUACCUUAAAUCAUCAAAGCUGCUUGGUGAAGAUUAAGUCUGCUAAAUGUCAUUAAAAAGAGACUUACCCAUUGUGUUGGGCCAUCAACAGGUGCUUUUAGGGGAUUGUCAUGCACCUGCCAUGUGAGAAAAAGGGUCAGCAGAAACUUAAAGGGGUAUAAGGAUUUUCCUGGGAAGUUACUUGGAACAAAUGCAGGUUCAUCCCUAUGCUCAUUAUGAAAGAGCAAUUCACCUAUAACUUCUUUAUUAGGAUCUUACUCACAAGCUUGUACAACUUAUGAUAUGCAAAUAAAGAUUAUUGAAGAAUUCUCUCUUUCAGCAAGCAAAAUAAUCCAAGUUUAAACUACCGUCACGAUGUUCUCAGGGAGAAGACUGAAGAAAAAUCAAGGUUUAAGUGCAAGCCAGCAUACUCCACUAAUGUGAAAAUAGUCGAGAAAGCCUGGUGCUAACAUUAUAUGUUAUCUCUUCUAAUAAGAAUGUAGAUGAAGAUCAAGGUUCAUUUACUCAAACAUGGCUAAAUUAUCUAUUGUAAAUGGAGAUUGAUGUUUGAUCAGUCAAACCUGAGCAGGGAAUUUAUCUUAAAAUUCAAAUCAAAUGAUUGAAGCUCUCUCUCUCUCUCUCUCUCACACACACACACACACAUGUGCACGAUAUAAUCUCUUCUAGCUACAACAUGAACUGAGAUCAAGGUCUGAUUACUCAAGCUUAAGUAGGGAAAUUUUCUUUUCAAAUCAAAUGAAUGGAGAUUGUAAUGAAUAUCAUAUAAUCUCCCUUCUGGUUAUAACAUAAAAUUCACAGAUGGUAGACUGCAACUGCCAUAGGCAUCAUUAAGGCCAUAAUAAGCAUGUAAUGUUAUCGAUUAGUUCUAAACCACUCACGUAGAGGUAAAGCAUGUUGAUGUUUUUCAAAAGAAUAGUCAAGAAUAGAGUUCUUUGAGAGAAGAUAAGGAGUGAUCUCUUGAUCUCCUUAAAAUCUCAAGCAUCAAGUCCAUUCAACUAAGUAACUUAAACAACAGUAACUGUAACAGAAUUAGUGGAUACUGGAUAGCAAAAUAUAACUAUUUAUUAAAUUUUACCUCCACUAAUAUUCCAUGAACACCAACUGCAACUGAUGUCCUUGAAAUACAUGGUAUUAGUUCACGCAGACCUCCACUUGCAACACCUUCACCAACGUAUCAAAAGGCAGCUAUACCAUUGCAAGUGCUAGCCUGCUAGGUGACCAUAUAGUGCUUAGAUGGAAAACAAGUUCCUUAAAGUUUUAUAUCUUUUUUAUAAAAAAAAAUUAUUCGAAGAGGAGAAUAUGAGAAACAAGGAAACUAUAACAACAUGAAAAAAAUAAUCUUCAUCUAGUUACAUAAAAUAAUAAAAUUUUUUAAGUGAAGUGGAGAUCAUGACCAUCUAUACAUUUUACGUAAUUUGAAAGGUUCAAUAAUUUAUGUUGUUAGAAAACCAAUCUUUUCGCAUUUACUCGCCCUUAUAUACAAAAUAAUGACUAUCAAAUUUACUAGAAAAUUUUCAAAAGAUAAACUUUAACUAUUACACUGGAAUAAUAAUGGAUAAUAAUGAAAAAAAAUAACAUGUGCUGCACUUAAAUCACUACAUGCUAAACCUAAGAUUAUGUAUAUUUACUAACUGAUAUAUGAAUUUGAAGUUAGAUGAACCUUGUUCUCACGUGCAGGGCACGUGUCUAGCCGUAGCGCUAAUCCCUGGGCGGUGACACGCACCUUAUCGUUCUUCGCUUCGGGGGCAAGGUGCCGGCCCUUCCCAUGUUCUCAUCCCAUUCUUCUUCUAUUCUGGCCAUCAUCUUCCUUCCACUUCCUGAAAUCUGCUGCCGAACUAUCGUCUCUCGUACUGGGCAGCGAUCCUUUCUCGAGAAAUGAUGGAUUCGAAUCCCGGAUUGGUGAGUUCUUCCGAUUAAUUCAGCUCACGGGUUAUAAAAAUUCCAACUUUACUACCGUUUGUAGGUAAAAAUGGAGCUAUAUUUCAGCCAAAUUCUGCCAAAAAGAAGCUUCCCAACCCUUAAUUUCCUCUCAAAGACCAUCGAAAUCUCUCCUAAGAUAAGAACUGCAGCCGGGUCUUGGAAUCCCAAGCUCAAGGUUUAUUUGCCACGUAGAAAGAUCUGUUCUUGUGGAUUAGGAAGUGUUUCGGUGGAUAAAAAGGGUGUAGAGGACCAAAAGGAGCUGCCUUCACAAUGGGAACUGGAGUUUUUGGGAGAGAGUAGCCCACCCGGUUCCCAAUCCUCCGAGAUGAAACCCCAGGAAAAGUCGAGUUUGCUCGAGGAGACCGAGAGCAUGGAUUGGUGUGUCAAGGCGAGGAGAGUUGCGUUGAGAUCGAUCGAGGCGAGGGGCUUGAGCAAUACCAUGGAGAAGCUGGUAACCUCGAAGAAAAAGAAGAAGAAGAAGAAGAGUAGUAAGCUCAAGGGAAGCAAGAAAGAGAAGAUGAGCACAAAAGAUAAGAUCUUGGAAGAUCUAGAUGAUGAUUUUGGUGAUUAUUCUGAAGUAAUGGACUUGGAGGAAUUGGACUUGGAGAGCAGCACCGAUGAUCUUAAAAGGAGAAUAAGCGUGUUUGCAGAUGGGAUGUUCGGAGAAAAGAAAGUGAGGGCAAAAGAGGCAUUUAUUGAGAGGUUGUCACAGUUCUCAGGGCCCUCGGAUAGGAAGAAAGAGAUCACCUUGAACAAAGCAAUUGUUGAUGCACAUACUGCAGAAGAAGUCCUGGAGGUGGCUGCGGAGAUGAUAUUGGCUGUAGCAAAAGGGUUGAACCCUUCACCUCUGUCUCCUCUGAAUGUUGCCACUGCCCUUCACCGGAUAGCCAAGAACAUGGAAAAGGUCUCUAUGAUGAAGACUAGGAGGCUGGCAUUUGCCCGUCAAAGAGAGAUGUCUUUGCUUGUGGGUAUUGCUAUGACAGCAUUGCCUGAGUGCUCUGCUCAGGGGGUGUCAAAUAUUGCAUGGGCAUUAUCCAAGAUCGGUGGCGAGCUUCUCUAUUUGUCAGAGAUGGAUAGAAUUGCUGAGGUGGCAAUUACCAAGGUUGGGGAGUUCAAUGCACAGAAUGUUGCUAAUAUUGCUGGUGCAUUUGCUUCAAUGCAACACUCUGCAGCAGAUCUUUUCUCACAAUUAGCUCGAAGAGCAUCUGAUAUAGUUCAUACUUUCCAUGAGCAAGAACUUGCACAGUUCUUGUGGGCGUUUGCUUCUCUAAAUGAGUGUGCUGAUCCUUUUCUUGACUCCCUCGACGAUGCUUUUAAGGAUGCUGCCAACCUCAAAUGCUGCAUGGAAGAAACAAGCUCGAUGCCAACAGAGAGUUCUUAUCCAGAAGCUGAAAUCAGCGGAAAUGGUCAGAACAUCAAUAAUAUUGAUUCUGAAAUGUCUUUAUGUGCCCCCAUACUUAAAUUUAACCGAGAUCAGCUUGGGAAUAUAUCUUGGUCUUAUGCUGUUCUUGGACGAAUGGAUCGUCUUUUCUUCUCCCAUGUAUGGACUACUCUGAGCCAGUUUGAAGAGCAAAGAGUUUCAGAGCAGUACAGAGAAGAUGUCAUGUUUGCUUCACAGGUUUUUUUAGCUAAUCAGUGCUUGAAGCUAGAGUACCCUCAUCUUGGUCUGUCACUGAAUAGGGAUCUUGAAGAAAAAAUAUCACGAGCAGGAAAGACCAAGCGGUUCAAUCGGAAGACAACUUCUUCAUUCCAGAAGGAGGUGGCACGGCUUCUAGUUAGCACUGGCCUUGAGUGGAUCAGAGAAUAUGUGGUGGAUGGAUACACAUUGGAUGCAGUAUUGAUUGACAGAAAGCUUGCUUUUGAGAUUGAUGGACCAACGCAUUUCUCAAGGAAUCUAGGCAAGGCUCAUUAACUGAUACAAAUUAUUAUAUUUUCCCUUAUAUCUAAACUCACAUCAAAACUCAUCAUCUUUUACAGGUAACUAAAAAAUAUUCAUACUGGUUCUUUUACAGGUACUCCACUAGGCCACACAAUAGUGAAACGCCGCUACAUUGCUGCAGCUGGUUGGAAACUGGUUUCUUUGUCUCAUCAAGAAGUGAGUUAUCACAUAAUCAAAUAUUACUAUGAAAUGAAAAUAUUUAUGUUAAAUGUAGUUUCAAAUUUUUUUGUUAGAUGUACAGAAUGACAAAGUGCAUUUUUACACUACCAUAUGAUACUCAUGUUGGUUGGUGCAAUAGAAAGACUACACUCUCCUAUUGACACAAAUCAUCUAACAGCAUGUGAAGAGUAAUGAAACAUCACCAAAGUGAGACGUUUUUUUGUUAGAACUGAUAUUCUUGACAUGUACACUACUGCGUACGACACAAUCUAGGAAGAAAAAGAGAAACCAAUAUAAAUCUUAGUAUUAACAAUAUACCUGGAAAUAACUUAUUAUUCUGCAUUUUUCCUUAGAAAAAAAAAUCUGUAUGAAAGUGCAGGGUUCAGAUGCUGCCAAUCAGAUGUGUCAUUUGCUAUGUUGCCUAAGACCAUCUCUGCCUUCUCUGUUAUGUCCAAUCAACAUGGACUUGAUCUAGAAUAUGUAUAACCAUGUUCCUGUAAGUAUAUAAGCAAUUUUCAGUUGUUGAAGACCCUUAUCAUGAAAACCUUAAACGUUUGAUGGGAUCUUCUGUAUGAACCAAGUUCUACUUUUGCUUCAUGAGUGUCAAGAGUUUUGCCAUCAAUUUUCAGUGCAGUUACGCCAUUACUCAUCAGAUCAAGACCUUCAUGUCUGGGGUUGAUUUAAACUCUCUAGCCUUCACUUAUCAUAGCCUGGUCUUCAUCUUACUUCGGACAAGCAUGAAAUCUAGGUUGGGUUCUUACAUCAAAUGGAUGUAGAUAACUAGUGAAACAAUCUUAAUUUUAGUCCUAGGACAUGUAAGAAAAAGAAUCAAGGUGAAGAAAGGAAAAAAUAUGUAAGAGAUAUUUAAUACUGAUCCUACUAUAUGAGAAAAAGAAUCCCUGUUCUCAGCUGGUUGUAGUCUUGGAAACCAGAAACCCAAAAAGCCAGUAGCUGAUAAAACCUGCCAAGCAGGGAAAGACAUAAGCAAGCAAGAAGAUUAGGCUGAGCUGUAAAGAAAGCAUGAUGAUGUCAGGUCAAACAAACCUUAGUUUUAUAAUCAAAUAUUUAAUGCAGAAAGAAUAUUUAAUGUCCCAGUAUCUUUGUUGAAGUACCAGAAAAACCACAAAAUUUAUGUCAUGAUAUGACAAAUCAUUUUCAUAUAGAAACCAUCUGCAAUGCGUUUUUUUUUUUUUUGUGACUGUGAGACAAAAUAAAGCAGCUUCUUCUUAAAGAAGAGAGAUGUUAAAUAAGAAAUGGCAGAACAGGGGCUUUGCUUAUGGGUAUAAUAUUUCUUCUCAAGUAUUUAGUGACAGAACAAUGAAAAUUUAAAACUUGGAACUUUGAUUUUUGCUGGAUUCUUUGUUUUAUGGCUUUGCAGUGAAAUGAUGCUAUAUCUUUGUAGGCUGACACUUUAUUUGGCUCCAGUGUUCUGAGAAUUGGCUUCUAAGCAUCUUGAUCUAAUGCUAAUGUGUCCUUAAUUGGAGGCAUUUAACUCAGUUGAUGCUUGAGAUAUGUAGGUUUUUGUCUGCCAGCUGACAAAUGAUACAGUUGGAAUUCUGCAUAUAAAUUGUUGGUGUGGUAUCCUGAAGAUAGAUGAUGAUCAACCAAUUGCAUGGUGGCAAUCUUAUGGCGUGGAUGUGCUUGUAUAGUGUGUUGUUACAUGUUAUUCAAAUGCUUCUAUUUCUGCUACAAUCUGCACAUACUAGCUGAAUCUUAUGCAUCUAAGAUAUUUUUUCUCUGAAUACUGCAUUUAGCGUAAAUUAUGAAUGCCUCAUAUUUUUCGGGAUAUGAGGCCAUGCACUCAUGAUUUGAGUGAUUUUCUUCCCUUUUAUUUUUCAGAUGAUUCCUUCUUUCCCUAUAAGAUAGUUCCACCUGUCCCUCUCUCAAGGCUGAAGUUACAUCUCUUCCCAAGCUUUUUUACUACUCAUGCCUUUCAAAAAUGAAAUUUACAUUAAGCGUCAAUAUUUUAGAUAUCCUCUACCUUUUAGUCAUUAAGAUCAUGCCUGUCUUAAUGGAACAAAAUGACGUGCCAUGUUUUGGCAUUUGUUCCAUACAUAUCCGAUCCUGAACUUUUCAGAAUAAAUAAAAUGGCUUUAUCUUUGAAAUGAUAAUUGGGAUAUUUCAUUAGCUAAUUCUUAUCUAUUUCUCUUUUUCCUCUUUUUUAGAGGAAUGCUUAUUUAUUUCUCUGUGUUCCUAUCGUUACAAGAUUGACUUUACCUAUGGAUGAGAAUUGACGAGCUACUGAAUCUUGGAGGGAAUUUCUUUUACCUAUUUCUCUAAGUAAGCUAUUUUACAACUUCCAAGAUUGUUUCACUGUAGAAAAUGGAACAUGAUAAUGAUAUUCUAGAUUCAUAGCUAUUCUGGAAUCUUGCUCGAGUGUAGAGACUCAUCUUUAUUUGAAAUAUAGUUGCAUACACAUUGUGCAUAAUCAUGGUUGCUUCACUGACAUGCUAUUUAACAAAAGAAGAAGAAGAAAAUUGGUGGUAUGAAGACUAAGUUUUGUCCUUCUACUCUUCUCUGCUGUUUACUAUUAUAGCUUAAUAGCAGUUUAAAUCUUCUGUUAUGACUCUAUGAAUAUUGUCUUUGCAGUGGGAGGAGCUUCAAGGUGAAUUUGAGCAAUUAGAGCACCUGAGGAAAAUUCUUGGUAUCGACACAGCUAACAGUUUAGAAGGGACAACCACAAUGAGUGGGUGAAACCGUCCUGGAGGAUNNNNNNNNNNNNNNNNNNNNNNNNNNNNNNNNNNNNNNNNNNNNNNNNNNNNNNNNNNNNNNNNNNNNNNNNNNNNNNNNNNNNNNNNNNNNNNNNNNNNNNNNNNNNNNNNNNNNNNNNNNNNNNNNNNNNNNNNNNNNNNNNNNNNNNNNNNNNNNNNNNNNNNNNNNNNNNNNNNNNNNNNNNNNNNNNNNNNNNNNNNNNNNNNNNNNNNNNNNNNNNNNNNNNNNNNNNNNNNNNNNUAUAAAACUUAAUUUUAAUAUUCAAUACAAAAGUCUGUAAAUCCAGAUGCCCAAUAUGUUGAAGUAUUGGGAAACCCUAUCAGAAAACUAAGAAACCUAAAUAUGACUUCUCUAAAUCCUUUUACAGUCAGAAAAGGGUCCUCUGUGCUCUCUCCUUGCCCCUGCAGGUGUUCAACCAAAGCAGCUACUUCUUAAAAUAGGACUGACUAGCACUCUACCUGACAUUUUCCCAAUAGUAAAUCAAACAUCAGCUAUAUUUUGGAUCUCUUGCAACAGCAGAUGUAAAACCUCCUCAGUGUGCCAAAUAUAUCUUCCAUCAUCAUUUCACAUGACAUUUCCAAAGCCAUAGCUCCAGGUAUACAAUCUUAUAUACUUGUUCUUGAGGCUCUGUGCUGCCUAAUAUAGCUUAAAUUAAAGUAAUUGUUAGAUUUAUGAUCCAACAGCGACGGUAAUACCAUAUGCUGCUGAUAAGAGGAAGAAAGAAUCAAAAUAGAAAACAUCAAUAUUAUGUACGGCAACAUAACAUGAUAUUGACUAGAAUUUGGCACCCAAAGACAUACAGCUAUCGACAAAACUUUGAUCUAUUUCUUGAGUGCUCGAAGAAUAGACAAAAAGCAGGUUUUGGAUGGAGAAGAGAAUACAAACCUCAUUAGCUGGCCAGUUCCUUUAAGAAGAUUAUCCAAAUUAAGCAAUUUAUGUCUUGUAGCUAACCACCAUGCAUGUUAACCUUCAAAGGAGAAGGGGAUUUCCAUAUCUUCUGAAAAUAAUUCAUAAUAUCACCAGGGACCUUUAAGAAGCUGUAGAAAGACUCUACUGAAGUUCCUGGAGAGACCCAUGAGUUGGGAUGUAUUUUGUAAAGUGAUGUAUCUAGAUCUUACUCAGAUACUACAAUGUAACAGUGGCCUUGUAAGCUUUUUAAAAAAAGGGGCACUAGAAAGAACUGGUAUUUAAUUAUUUUGAUAUAGUAUCUUACUUUUCGAGCAAAUAGAUUAAUAUUUAUUGUAGUGGUUACUCUAACGAUUGUUUUAACAAAAUAAUAGCACUAUUGAAAUCUUGAACCGAAGAUGAAAUAAUACAUUUCUAAAGAAAGAGCAAGCCGUAUAUGAUGCACAACUGCUAUACUAUCUCAAGAUCAACUAUGUGGCUUUAACUCAUCAACUAGAGGCGUAUUUUCUUGCCAACAGAAUUUUUAUUUCUAACUUUGUGAACAAUUUAUCACUGAAGCGAUGUAUAAAUGAUUGUAGAGGAAGUAACAAAUUUAUGUUAUGAAGUUUACUCCAAUGUGAUGAAUAAUGGGUACAAAAUAUAAUUGAGAUGUUUUUUCUAGCCAACAAAAUUUUUCUUUCUAACUUUUGCGAAUAAUUCAUUGAAACUAUAAAUGAAUCAUUAUAGAUGGAGUAGUAAUUUAUGGUAGUGAAGUCUUCUCAUAGGUGACAAACAAUGGUUAGAAAGUAUAUUGUGAUUUAAGGGAAAAUAUACUCAUGACAGAUUACUUAAUUGCAAACAAUGGUUAGAAAGUAUAUUGUGAUUUAAGGGAAAAUAUACUCAUGACAGAUUACUUAACUUGCCAAAGGUGAGCCUUGAUGCAAUAAUAGAAAUACUUCAAUAUGGCCUGGAUGUCACGAAUUUGAAAUAUUAAAACAUCUUCUGCGCACACAUAAAUAAGAUAAGAUUGCAUAUAUCUGAUCCUUUCCAAACCCACCUUAUCUAAUAAGCCACCCCUUUUUAUAUUAGAUUACUUAAUUGUAAUCCUGAAUGGUCCAUCAUCCUGAUGAGUAAAACCCAUAAUUUGUUAACUCUUCGGACAUACCUUGGCCGCUGACCAGAACUCUGGUUUCCACCCUCAAGGCCUUGUCACCCUGAUUUCUAUUCUGUUCUCUGAACAAAUAGUAAUUACAUUCUUAACUGAAGCAAGAUUAAUCACAUAGGUAGAAUUGUUACUGAAAAGACUAAUUACCUCCAGAUUUAGGCUACCUACAAAAAACAAGAAUACAGCUCAUCUGUCCCAAACGUUUCUAUAAAGCCAGAAUGCUGAGAGUACACCACAUAAGAUCAGUUUGUCCGGCGCGAGACAAACGUAUCACUUUGAUUUUUUUUUUUUUGGGUUACAAAAAAGUAUCAUUUGGUUGAAGAGACAUAGUUUGCCAAGAAGCACAUCCAUCAUGGAGGCUAGACAUGGAAAAGCAAGCACGUGUUACCUUAAAAACUAAGAUUUACCAACAAUCAGUGCAGCAGUAGCUCUGUUCCACUGCUUCCAACACUAAUUAUAACAAGGUAUGCAUUUCUACACCACUGGGAUUAGUAAGAUAGAACAAGAAGUUCAGUANNNNNNNNNNNNNNNNNNNNNNNNNNNNNNNNNNNNNNNNNNNNNNNNNNNNNNNNNNNNNNNAAUUCCAUCCAUGCAGGUAAUCAGCUACGCUCACCGGCAGUCGGCACAGCAUUGAUCUGAGCAUUAUGUAUUGCACGUCGUAGCUCAGACAGAAAGUCCAUCUGCAUAUAACAUAAAGAAGGGCAAUGAUUUAGGAAUAAGAACCAAAUUUUAGAGAGUAAGAAAAAAGCAGAAAGCAGAAAGAUUCAUUAUGUUUCCACCUGAUGUGGAAGCUUCAAAUGACCCCACGACGACCCACUAGCUCCAGAAUACAUUGUUGGUCUCUCUGGUAGAGGCCAAAAAUAAACGAGGUAUAGAAUUGAAAUGCACAUAAUUAUAAUUUAAUCACAAUUAGAAUAAUCAUUGCAAUGAUUGACACAUCAUAUGGGUGUGACUGAGCGUGUGCAGACAUUAACAAGCAUGUGAGAGCAAGAGGGGGAGGGUGGGCAAGUAACAUGCAGGGAAUAUCGGGCAUACUUCACAUAUAUUAUGUUCAGUUUGCAGUAGAUAUACCUUUCAAUGUUGAUAACAUGAAGUUUCGCAUUAACUUCUAUGGUUAAAAAUAUUUCUUAUCUAAGGGCUUGUUUGGUAUUAUCAUUGUUUCGUGUUUUUGUCUCUCCCAAUUAGUGAAAUACAACAUGGAAAUUGAUGUUCAAGAUAGCAUUCACAUAAAACUUCUGAUAUUCCUUGCUUUUAGUUUCACAUUUUCUGAAAGCAACAAAUCUUUGCUACCAUGAGCUCUGAAGAAUUUAGAAACAAUUUUUUUUAAAAAAAAAAUAGGUUUCAUCAUAUAUAUUAUUCAGUGUAGUUCAAUUUUCAUCUCAGGAUUUUUUGUAAAGAAAAGAAAACAAGAAAGACCGAACAGGCCUUGAAUUAUUAAAAACCGAAAGGCUUUAAUAGAUCCCGGAAAUCUUGACCAUACCGCCACCAAAAAGGGUGGCCCAGUCCACAGGCUCUUGCUACUGCAGAGUCAGAGGAGGAUAAGAUGUAAACAAUCUUGCCCCGCAUGCAGAGACGCUGUUUUCAUAUUUUGAACCCUUGAAACCUAUGUCACAAUAGAGUAACUUUACCAUUGCGCCAAGGCUCACCCUCACUAUACUACCACCACACUUGGUAAGAACCUAUCUAAAUUUCAUUGAGCUACUGACAUUUGACCCAGCUUAAUGCGUCCAAGAGAGACCAAGAAAUUGAAUUUUCAAAAUUCAGGAAAUAAUGAGUUAGAACUCUUCGAGAAAAAUCAUUGCAUUUUCCUCAUAAGUUCCCUUCCAAAAAGAAUUGUUCAAAAUGAAGAGGGGAACUGAGAUACUGCAGCGGUAAUGCAACCAGCUAGGCGGUGGGGGUCAUUGGAAAUGCCUUCGAAAUCAACAGAACACCAGGGCAGGAGAGCCCCAUCUAUUGCCUCAAGUGAAAAAUAUGUUCUACCCAGAUUUACUGACAUCCUCUAAUGGUCCCAUGAGAAUCUAUAGCUGGAAGAACACAAUCACAAUGUAUACAAAAAAAAAUCAAUUGGUCAUUUUUCCAAUUAAAAAAAAGAAGAAAAUCUCAGAUCUCUUACUUUCUUAGAAUGAAAGAACCUGUCAUUUGUUAGUGCUAGCAUUCUUCUAUUAUUCAGGUUAUGGUCCUUUUUUCUGUGGUUACAGCGCACAAUGUUUAGGCAACCAAGAAUACCAUCUAGACAUUUCUAUAAGCUGUCGACACAGUGAGAAGCUUUUCAAACUCAGUCUUAUGGCCUCUUUGUCCCUACAAAUUCUGGGUUAAUAUUCCAAAUUCAUAAUAAAAGAACCUAGGCAGAAAUGCAGGGUCUCUGGAGUGACAUCUGAUAGAUCCAACACAGUUUAGUUGAAAUGGGAUAUUUGAUUACCUGCCAGAUAAUUGGUGUCCCACUAGUGGAUACAGUAGAUUCUAGAAACAACCAUACCAGUCUCAUUUAAAAACUGACUGUAUCAUUAGAAGAGAAGACAUGUCUUGGUUCCAGAUUCCUACUAAAAAGCGACAGACAGCAGUACUUGAGGAACUCAAGUUCUCUACCUUGCAUCAUUGCCAGCCUUAUAUAAGUCAGAAGAUUAGAGACUCAAUGUUUGGAGGGGUUUGGAACUUUGCUGUGAAGUUUACAUCUUCCCAACCGAAGGUGAAAUUUAUUGUGGAUGCAAGAAGUCAAGAACAAAACAUUUCCUAGGUACAUCCCUCCCAAGUCUUUUCUUGGUUGGUUACCCAGGGAGAAAGCAUUGGAUGUGCCAACAUCACGAAGAAUGCGUAAGAGUUUCACUAUAAAUAUGAGAUUGAUGGAAGAGGAGAUAUCUACUCCUCGUCAGUUAAGCUGGUUGUCUAUAGUGACACUGGAGAAGAUUGGGAAGAGAACUGGCUUUCCUUGAAUAUGACAAAAUCCUGUCAACUGCUUUUAAGCUGGUAGAACAACAGAAAGAACUGUGCCAAAUCACUCUCGUUUACAAGCGGUUGGCUUGUUGAUGCAAUGAGACUUGCAAAGAGCACCUAGGGCAAAGAUAAGAAGAUGAGAUAUCAAAUACUGGAGAGGGAAAAAAGAAAAGAAUGAGCCGCUUCGACCAACUAAAAAAUUCAAUAGUAUUAAGAUUGAUGGAAGACUUCAAAAUCUGCUUAAUAUCCUUGGCAGCUUACAUAAAUCUUUAACAAACUAAAACCCAGAAAGAUUCAUAAACUAAAAUCUCAUUUACCUAAAGAUUUUGAUUCCCACAAUGUGUUCAAAAUCGGCAAAGGUCCUCGAUAAAAAAUAUUUAAAUCUUAAAGACUAUCCUUAGAAGAGUAUGUGACAUAUGGGUGCCAAGAUAUGCAUACUGCAAGCUUGAUGGCUAAGUCUGGAUUGCAAAUGAUUUAGUCCCACCGGAUGAACCUGCUGUCUUCAAAAGAACCUUUCCCUAAUUUCAGUCAUUGUUUUCACACUGUCCUGGGAAUAUUAUAUCUUUCUUGUCAUCACCAAAAUUCAAUGAUAUUGGGUGAACACAGCCCAGCAGGCAUACAUGCCAGGCUCCAGCUUAGUGCACCUGCUGACACCUUUCAAAGCACUUUGAGUAAUUCACCUCACCCAGCCCCUUCAUGCAAUAUUUGUUACCUAUACAUAUCGAUACCUUUUCCAAGAACCAAAACCAUUGGAAGCCAAUAAAAAGGUAUCAUCAGCUUCAAGCAAUCAUGAUCCACAGUUUCUUGCUAAUGAUUUUAUCAAAGCAUGUGAUGCAAGGAAUGCUUCUUGUAGAUAUGUUACCAACAACACUACUACAAGAGUUCAGCAUCAGUUUUUAUGUGCUAAUAUGCAUCCAUCAUUAUGUGAUCGUGAAUGUGCACAUACAUGCGUACAUGAGCAUGCACACCUACAUGUUUUGAUUGCACGAGGCUGCAUGCCCAUGCCAUUCUUACUAAUACAUGCAAAGAGUAAGCUGCUGUCCCACUUCCAUGUAGAGCUUAAUUUAUACGUUAGAUAAAUGGACAAAGUUCCUGGGUCUAGGGUAAUAGGCUAAUAGCAUUCCAGAUUCUUGAUCAAGGGGAUUGUAUAGUGUCAAAUAUAAUGGUCAAUACAAAUGCAACAGUGAGGUGUGGCAAACCAACUGAAGGGAUCCAUAGAAGUAGAAACUAGGAUUUGUUCGCACCAGGUUUGUGCAUAGCAUUAUUUGGAAAAUCUAAAAGCUUUCAUAACCUCAAUACCCAAUUUCUUUUUAGAGAUGAUGGAUAAAUACUUAUAGUAAAUGAAUAAGUGUCAAUUGUUUCUUUGUCCAAGUCUCAGGGGAUAUCCUACCACAUAGAAAUCAACAUUCAUAACCUUCCCUCAUAACGGCUUUAGAGUAUAAGCAAUAUAAAAUAUAAAUACAGGAAAUUCAGUGCUAUAAAUAAAAUACUAGGAUUCAUUAUACUUGAUAAGACAUCAAAAGAACCUAUAAUGGAAACAUAAUCUAAAAAAGACCACAAGAAUUUCAAAUCAAAUUUGAAAGUUCAUCGAUUCAAUCUUUCAAAUGGAAAUUUUGAUUUGGCUAAGCAAAGCAAUUCCCGAAAUCAGCAACCACGCCAGUUCAACAAACAAACUUACAGAAUUUACAAGACCAUAGAGAUAUAUAACCCACCAGAUAAAUCAACUGAUGGAUCAUUGCACAAGUGCAUGGCAUUUGCCCAACCUACAUAUAAAAUGUAAGUAGUGUGAGAGUCAUGCAGCUAAUUAACAGCAUAAAACAAUAUAAUACGACUAAAAUUAGGUUGAAGCAAUGUUGUUGUGGUGUAUGGUUGUGCAUAAUUUCCAAAGAAAAAUGUUAAACUAACAACAAUCCUCAUAAACAAACCAGGAAAUCUGGAUUAUUCUAAACAAAUAAAGUGAAAACUUGAGACAAAGUCACAAAAAUAAGACUAACGGAGCAGAUUUACUUAAGAUGAAUGAUUACACUGGUUGCUGAGCAUGUACCCCACAUGAGUGCAGGAGCAUGCAUCCCACAUGAGUGCAAAUGAAGAAAAUGAUUUGCAUAUGAAAGCAAUUUGGACAAAACAUACAACAUCGACAUGCGCAUAAUUGGUAAUCAAAAACAAAAAUGAUAUCUCUGACAGUUAUCUCAGCAGCAGCCUCUGAUGAUUAACAUUCACCAAUUAAAAAGCCUGGUAGUGAACACCCUAGCCUCUUGCAAACUCAUGCUGUACUUUCAGGCUAAUACCAUAUCGGUUUUGAUUCUGAGCAUGAUGCAGAUAAUAUGGUAUUAUUGAAAAAUAAAGCAAGUCUAUGAUAACGAAAACAUAUAUCCAAUGAGAGGAACUAAAAUUUUUCGUAGUACAUAACUGUCAGAAAAUCAGGCAGCAACAAUGUACACAAGCAUCUGUUGAAGGUGUUCCCUGACAAUCAACUUCAACCCACUUCAGUAUGCUAGGCAGGUGUGCUCAGGAACAUAGCACUAAAUGGUAUGUUAUUCACUAACGAUUAUGUGCUGAUAGCUUAGUGGAUCAGGAUCAUAAAGCUGGCUCCAAGUAGCUGGGAUAAGCCUGGAUGGUUAUGGUUAAGAAUUAUGUAAUGAUAAAUACACAUAAAAAAACGAAUUUGCUUGCCAGGUUUUCAAAAUUAAAAGAAUUCAGCUUUGUCUACCUAUCCUACAUGUACAUAUGUGUGUAUAUCUAUCGUUGUAUACCAUAUACUGGCGUGGUUAUAAUACAUACAGGGUACAAAAAGAGCAUUUUACACCUGCUAUAAAAAUUCAAUAAUCAAAUGCAAAUUGAAAAUCUAAACCACUGGAUGUCAUCUACAACAUUACAAAGUCUAUAUACAAAAACAUAAGAAAUAUCUUGUCUCUACAUCAACUCUCCCAAAUAUAUAGUUCACACAAUACAGUGUGCUGAUUUUAGGCAACCUAAUAUAUAGAAGAGAAGUUCGAAAAAAAUAUGCUCUAUAAAUUGGUAUUUAAGUCUUGUAGAUCAUGUCCAACAAUUUAGAAUUCCAUGUUUCAACAAACAGCAUUGAAUUUUGCAAUGGGUGCAAAGUACUGUUGUUAUGCCCUGUGUGUACUACAUGCAUGUGUACAUCCAUGCAGGCUUGCGUGCAUGCAAGCACAUGCGCAUGCAAACACUCCAUAGAACCAUCAUAAACAAGUGAACCUAUCAUUGAGUCCUAUACUGAUGUUUAGGACAACAGUAUUACUGAAGGAAACAUUCUUACAAUGCCACUCAUUCUCAUUAUUUCCACUUCAUGGAGUAUCUUAUAUUGCAAGAGACCGGUGAACACGGUGAGACAAUAUUGAAAUACAUAAGAUGCAAAUGACAAUCAAGCAGGCGCGAGAGACCGUGCCUUUUGCAGUUUAUAGUUUUAUUUUCCCAUCUAUCAAUCAGAGAACACAACAAGUAAUAUGCAUCACGUCCUUGCCAGCAAUUUCACAUGAUUAUGAUAAAGGACUGACACAUGGAAUUUACAUGACAACUCCAAGACGCAGACAGUAAUUUGCAACUGCAUACUUACGAUCAUUUAAAAGUUGUGCAGCCUCACUGGUACAACACCCAUCUAUGGGUAUCAAUCCUGGAUGGUUUUCAUUUUGAACAUUGCUGCCACCAGCCUCCCCAUGAUCCGUUGAAGGAAAAUUUCUCAAAUUAGAAGCUUGACUCUUCUCCCCAUCAAUCCCAUAGGAGUAACUUGUUUUUUCAAAUCGAUCUAUACAGACAAACACAAAAGAAUUACAAGUUCAAGCACUCGUGCAGAAAUUACGAAUAAAGGAAAUGCAAAAUGUUGCACAACUUUAGAUGCACAAAUAAUUAGAUGUAUGCAGUGGAAGCUUUCUAUCUGGUGCAGAAGAGUAUGUAUCAUUUCUUGCCAAUAAAUUGUUUAUGAUUGGUAAACACUGCAACUACUGCAUUAAAAAAUCCAGGUCUUGGGUACUUAUGGACUUACAGUAGUUGGUUUAAGACAUCCCUCAACUAUCAGUCUUUGCUAAUUUAUUGAUUAUCAAGCACUGGAUUCAAAAUGAUAUAAUAUCAGAUCAUUCUAUUGGUUUUUUUUAUUAUAAAGAAUGCAAAGUAUCUGCAGCUAUAUGGUAAUUUUAAUUAGCAUCACAAAGCACAUACUAUUGAUAGUGAAGGCAAAAUCAAAAUGUUUACUGCGAUUAUGUUCAUGUACUGUUCAGUUUGUCUUUAGGUCUAUCAACUAAUCCCAUUUAGAAUGUGUUCCCACAGCAUCUCCAACUGAGAUAAUUAAGUAUUUUGAGAAGAUACUACUUCACCACAGAGAAUAAAACACAAAUGCAGGUGUUGAUUGUUUUUUUUUAGGUAACUUGUCAUUGUUAUUUUCUUUAUAUCAUUGGAACACCAAGCAACUGCAGGAUGAAGGUUAUAUAUAUAACCCAUCAUUUAAACACAAAGGAAGACAGCUUCUUUUUAGCCAAAAGAACUAUAAUCUCAUUGUCUGCACCUUAUCUACUAACAAAAAGAAAAGAGGAACUACUUCCUUUUAAGCGUAGCUUUUGUAUCUUUGACACUUGAAAUCUUAAACAUUUUAGCUCCAUAAAUUUCUUAGUUUGACAUAACUUUGAUCUUUUCCAAAUGACAAUGAUAUAAUACUUGCAAAGUCAAAUAAGGAUGCAACUCCAUAAUUUCAAAUGAAUCUAUAUAUACAAGGUAAAAGCGACAAGUUUUUAUUCAUGUCAAAGACAUCAGGAGAAGCCUGCGGCCAUCAUUUCACAAGAAAAAAGUCCUCCCAUUCUAGAUAACCGUAAUCAAAGAUAUACACGCAGUAGCAAAUACUUUUCUUUUUUUUGAAAUUGUAAAUCACAUACAAGUUUUAACAUCUAAAAGUAAAGAGAGAAAGCUAAUAGGAUAUCAUACUACCAGCCAUCGAUUUCCCUUCCCACCCCACUUACCAAUAUGCUAGCCCGAGAAGUGUAGAUAAAGUCCUACCAAAAAUUGGCUACUAAUAUUGUUGGAACUAGAUAUUUCAGAUUUUUAAUGUGAAAGCUCGAAAUAGGUUUUUUUUUUUUUAAAUUGACCGAGACUAGCUAAAAUCAUCUAAAAUGAGUAAACAACAACCGAAACCAGGCUUACUCGCGAAUCCAUUUCAGCCAAGACCUUUUGGACCUCAGGCUAACCUUGAUGCUAAAAUUAAACUUGCAGAUUAUUCUUGAACAUUUGAAAAUUAAUAAAUCUUUCUAUUUAAACCCAAUUUGGUUGUGAGAAUAUACACAAGUAAAUUCAGCCCACUCCUUAAGCUCAAGGUCGCAGUUUGAGAAAUAGUUACUACAAGCACUGCACACGUAUUACCAAUAACAGAAAAAUGAAACUAUGUCAACGACAAACAACCAUCAUCUAUCACAAAGAGAAGAGUAUAAAGAAAAUACCUCCAGAUUUGCGCCGGUUGAGGGAUCGGUUCCUGAGACAUCAAGCCGUUAAACAAUUGAGAAACUAAAAAACAAGUAGAUAACACCAAAAAGAAUACGAUCAAACGAACGAAAAAGAAAAAAAAGAAGCAAAAACUGACACCAAAAAGAACAAAAGAAAAAAAAAAGAAGCAAAAACAAGCAUAUAACACCAAAAAAGAAUCAUAUGUAAAGAACGAAAGGGGGGAAAAAAAGAAGAAAGUAGAACCCACAAUGCAGAAAACCCAAUAGAAAUCGGAACCAAGAAAAGAAAGCAUUGGAAUCGGAUAGAUCUCUCGAAUCAAGAAACGGGACGAUAGCGAUUCCAAGAAAACGGCGAAAGGAGAGGGGGGAAGAUGGUGUACCUUUGAGCGGGAGGCGCGUAUCGCUUGCCGCCCUCGGGAUUGUUGUUGUUCUCGAUCAUCUCAGCCCUCCGGCAACGAGGGGAGAAAGAAGAAUAGGAGAAGAGGAGAAGAGAGAAGAGAAGACUUCUUCUUCUUCUUCUAAUGGGGAGGGGCGGAGCUCUCGCUCCCCUUCGGCUUCUCCCACGGCUUGAUGCGGUGGGAGACCGGAAGGGGGAAAAGACCAGAGGACGGGAUCGGAGCCUCCGCCGUUAUGUCACCCUCUCGUUAAUCCCCUUCUUUUAGUAGUCAAUAAUUGGGACUUGGACUAGUCCAUAAGCGGCAAUGCUUCGUGCGGUGCGGUGUUUGUUACGAUAAAAGGGGGUGACCAGAAGAGGAGAAGGGAGCUCACAUUGAACUUGGUUCAUGUGGUGAAGAAGUUCUUCUUCAAGGAAAUUACAGCAGUUGUUCACCUGAAAUUAUAGAAUAAAAUGAAUUGAAAUCAGGCUUUUGUGAUGUGAAUAAUUGGAUGUGUUGUGAUCAUGGAUUCAAUAAGAAUUCAAAAGCAUGGGGUUGCUUACAAGAAAAUUCCAGUUGAUUUGGGCACUUCAUUUGGGCCAAUGAAGCUGCCUAUCAGCAAGGAGGGGCACUCCAUUUGGGCCAAUGAUUUCUUAGGGAUCUUGCUUGCUUGCUUGCAUUUUGCUUUCAUAUUUCUUUUCUGAUGACAAGCAUUACCCUAACUCAUGCAAUGCAGUUCUCCUACUAAUCAUCUUAUGAAAUUGGGCAAAUUUUAUCAUGCCAUAUAUAACUUUUUUAUUAUGGGCUUUGUGUAGCAGGGCUAUGUCAUGCUUCGGAUCUGGGGUGUAAUGCAUGCAAUGCAGUUCACCUACUAAUCAUCGAUGCAUUAAAGAAAAAAAAAUCCAAUUCCAAUUAUCUAGUCCAGAUGGCCCUCACCUUGCAUGGAUGUCACAUAGAACAUCUCUAAACUCUCUAUUGAACUUUUUUUUUGUCAGUAUUACUCUCUUUUGGAUUGGGCCAUGAAGUAUGCGAUGUGCUAAAGAUUUGGAGUCUAAGAGGGAUUUCUUCAUAAACUAUUCUCCAUCGUUAGGGGAGGAGGGGAGAAUAUUUUGGAUCAUGGAAACAAAUGUUUCAGGUUAAGUCGCUCGCUAUGACGGCCAUCGCAAGAUCAGCUUUGGCAAAGCUUUAUAAAAGAUCCAACAAAAUACUUCUCAUCUUAAUUUGUAAUCUUUUUCUUCACCAAACCCUGUGGCAAUGUUUGUGCCAAGUUGCAAUAUUUAUUGCGUCUCAAUUUCUCCUUGGAAUUAAUGAAAUGAUCCACUUGAGGCUAGUGUUUGCUUCUAACAUAAUUCCUCAUGUGGUAUAAUGGAAAUGAUUCCUCAUGUGGUAUAAUGGAAACACUUGCAAGAGAGGAAUAUUGACAUAUAUUAUUUUCUUGAUUAUAGGCUCUGUUUGGGGGAGCUUUUGGAGGGCCAAAAAGUACUUUCUGGCCCUCCAAAAGUACUUUUAGAUAAAAAAUGGUGUUUGGUAAAAUUUUUGCAAAGCUGUUUCAGCUUUUGGGAAGAAGCUCCAAUUUGGAGCUUUCCGAAAAUGCUGUUUUCAGCUUUGUCGGGAAGUUGUUUUUUGGACCAAAAUACCUCCAUUUAAAUCUCACUUUUUUCCUCCAAAAUCCUCAUCCCACCUCUUCCUCUCUCACCCAUCCCCUCCCUCUCCCUCUCUAUCUUCUUCUUCCUCUCAACGUCGCCGCCGUUUAUUCCUUCUUCCUCUUCGUUUUUUUUUCUUUUUUUUGUUUUGGGAGCUCGUGGCUGCCACGGUGGCAGCCACCAUGUCGGCCACCACCCAUGGCCGGCGACCCCUCUAUAUUUCAAUGAAAUAAAAUAAUAAAUAAAUNNNNNNNNNNNNNNNNNNNNNNNNNNNNNAAUGAGUAGCAAAUAAUCUGAUUAAAUAAAUAAAAAUAUUAGUAAUUAUUUAACCAAUUUAAUCACCUAGCUAGAAAAUUUGUUAGAGGGAUAAAUGGUCAUUAGAAUGAUGAAAAAUUAAUUUAAACUAAUAAUUAUAAUAUUUUAUAUAUUUAUUAUUGUAUUAUACUAUAAAUAUAAUAUUAUAUUACAUUAUAUCAUAAUACAUUGAUAUGUUAUGUUAAAUAAUUUAAUAUUAUAUUAAAUUAUUAUUCUAUAAUACAUAAUGUUAUAGUACUAUAUUAUAAUAAUAUUAUAUUAUAUUACAUUAAUAUUAUACUAUAUCAUAUAUUUAUGUAUUAAUACAUAUUAUAUUUUAUUAUGCUCUGUUGUAUAAUACUGGUAAUGUCCUUUAUGGUCAUUUUGUCACACAAAAGUACUUUCUCGGUUUGUUUACCAACCACAUGUUAAAGUACCACAGCACUUUAGAAAUGUACUUACCUAACAACAAACAGUUUUUUAUAAACGCUCUACUUUAGAUAGCUCUACUUCCAAAACCUCUACUACUAAUAGCUCUUCCAAAUAGGGCUAUAUCUCAUGUCAAUCUUCAUUAAGGUCUGACAUAUGCAUGAGAACUCAUUGCAAGCAUAAGCUGAGUUUGGUUUUUUGCUGAAGGAUCUUAAAUGUACAAUUAGAAGUUAAAGGAAUUGCUAUUGCGAGGUGCACCACUUAGGCUGUUAGAAUGUUAAUGGGUUCAAACUUUGUAUGAAUAAUAUUAGGUAGACCCUUACCAUAUAUCUUUUAAGACACUUCAAUUAAUAUCUAAAUCAAGAUUUUUGUAACAACUAAAAUAGAGAAAAAAUGGCAAAAAAUAGUUUUGGAAGUCAAAACAAUCGAACAGCGCCUAGUUUUUGUUGUUGUUGUUGUCGUCGUCAUCAUCGUCAUGACUUUUGAUGACAAGAUUCGAAGAAAAUCAAGAAGCUAGUGUGCUGUUAUUAAGUCUCGAAUUACAUUUGAGAUGACAGAAAUAAGUUGAUCCGCUGGGCAUUUCUAGCAAGUUAGCUUGUCAUACUCACAUUCUGAUUAAAUAUUGAAUAAUUUGUUGAUAGGAAACAAUGUGGGCUGGUUAAACUAUUGGCAAAUUUCUUGUGGUUAUUCUUUUCUUAGAUUUGGAUGAUAGAUGACCAAAUCUUUGUAUAAGAUUUUUGCUCCAAUCAAUCAGUAUGAAAUAAAGGUUACAUAUUUUCUUCUUUGUUGGAAUAAUAUAGUAGUACUAUUUUUGUGCUGUGUUAGCUUUGUUUUUUUGCUGAAUGAAUCAUUUCCUAAUGUUCAUCCAGAACAGAGAUUGACACCAUAUUUACACAAUACGGUAAUCAAAAAAUAAAAAAAAAAAGAAAAGAAAAAGGCUACAAAGCAGACCGUUAAGCAACUACUUAAUGAUCAUAGGUUGAAUUGGCUAUGGGAGUUUAGAUAGUCCUAGUGGUAAAAGUAGACCAAAUAAUAUCCGUUUGAAUUUGUUUUCAUAUUCAAAUCUACCCAGAUAUGAAUAUAAAUUUGAAUAUCCAACUUAUCUAUAUCAAUAUUUGUCAAAAAAAAUAAAAAUAUGAAUAAAUAACUAACCUAUCAAUAUCCCAAUAUUUGAUUCUAUUUGUAAUCUUAUUUAAUUUAAUAUAGCGCUCAUGAAUUUUUAAGAAAAAUAAAUGAUCACAUUAACAUACUAUUAACUUGAUUUAUGAUCUCCUUAGUAAUAUCUUUGAUUCUAUGGUUAUAGAGCUUAAUUAUCUAAUUUAUAUCCAUAUUUAUAUCUAUACUUUUAGUAUUCAAUUUAUAUCUAUAUCCAUUUAAAACAAAUAUAGAUAUGCAUCCGGUUAACAUCCAUAUCCAUAUCUGUAUUUGCCAAAUAAAACAAAUAUACUAAUACUCGAUCUAAUUUUAGUCCUAUUUUGUCAUUUCUCAUGAGGGAAGUUGUUUAAAAUAUUAUAGUGAAAAAAACCAUGUGUCCGAAUACGAUUGCUUGCAUGCAUCGCUCCGUGUAAAGUACAAUUUCUCAAGGAGACACCAGCUAGAAAAAUAUUUUAAACGCAAUAAAACCAUAUAAUCCAACUUCGACUCCAAUGUCUUCAUCAAAUCCAAGGCUCCAAAUUUGAUCUCACGUGACCCAAGCGACGCUCACAACCCUCGACCUGGCCGUAAGCGACCAAUUGGAGUACACUUGCCUUUCUUUUUUUAAGCUCUUGUCUUGCUCUUUUUGGAUGCACUUAAACCAAGCAUGUGUUCAGGGAGGCAAAUGAGGCUAUGGACUGGGCGGCUUUCUUUGUCGCCAACCAUUCACGAGAUCAUCUAUGGGUGGGAGAGGCGGAGAUGCCUAAUGCUCUCCACGUUGUCCUGUUUUUUGACAUUCUUGGCUAUAUUCGUACACAUUAUUUAUGAUUCUUCCGUUUCAGCAAAAAAAAAAAUAAUAAUAAUAAUAGUAUUUGGUGUGUUCUCGUCCCUUUUGUGGGAACUAAACAAAACUGCCUCGGUAGAGAAUGGAGAUGAAGACUGCUUAAAACUCAAAGUAUGUGUACAAUAAAUACCAUAGGAUGCAUCCCCCUCUUAAUCCAUUUACCAUUCAUCAAGUCCUAGAGGAGACUUUUUUUAGAUUUUAGACUGUCGUACCACCAACGCCAAUUUCCAUGUCUUGGCCAAGUUCCAUCUCCAUAUGUUUAGUUCCAUCCUCUCCUCUGCGCUCUGAUGCUUGGUUUGAUGGAUCAAACAUCAGUUGAAAGAAAUGGAGAUUAUCUUAGGUAAGGAUAGUCUUUGUUAAACUUUGAUCUAUAAAAUUUCCUAAAAAAUUGUUUGUUCAUAAUAGUAAUGUCUUAUCGUUACAUGAAAAGCUCUUGACCUUGUGAAGAAAAAUGAUUUGUAAAAAUUGGCAUGAUAGACGUAUGAUUUUCAAAUGUUAAAUUAUCAAGACAGCACUAAAUGUGUGAGAAAUUUUUGAUGCGCAUGCACCAACACCCAAAUAUAAAAAUUAACAAACAAAAGAUGAUAAACAAAAAAUAAAUCGAUAAAUUGGGUUCCUCUAAAUUAAUAAAAAAAUUAUUUUAUGUAUCUUAUAAUAUUGAAAUUAGCUCUACCAUGUUGGUGUAUCCCUCUAUCACUUGAUCUAGCAUCAAAAAAUAUUUAGAUAAGUUACAUCCAAAAUUUGUGCAAACAAUGAAAAAACAAUUCGGAUAAGAUUCGCAGUGUUCUCUUUAAUUGCUUUUAGUUUGUAAAUAAUAAUCCUAAAAAAAAGAAUAAAAAAUGUCACAGUUUGAACCAAAUGCUGGCAUGCACUAAAUGUAGAAUGAAACCUAUAUAUAAUAAGAAUAAUAGAACACUAUCAUUACCAUGCAUGGUUUGAAACAGGGGUAGCUUAGAAAUGGCAAUUAGGAACUCUCUACUUUUAAAAUUGGAAGGAUAGGUUUCUUCCAUAGAUUAUGGCUACCUGAGCCUACCAAAGAUAGAGAGAGAAUUAAAUAUAUAUAUACAUGUAUAUAUAUAUAUAUAUAUAUAUAGUUUCUAGCUCUCUAAUGCAAACAAUGGAAUCAUUUGGGCAGCCGGGAGGAUGAAAGGAGUGUACCGGAACAGGAUCAGCUUCAUUUCUAGUUUAUUUUAUGGGUUUGAGGACUUGGGGGGUAGUGUUCUAUGUGCUCUUACUUUACAAACUUCAGUUUAAAGAUGGAACUCCUUGGUACUAUAACAAGCAAAAGGGAAGUACGGAAGCUGACUUUUCUAAGUAAUCCAAGGUGCAAGUUGGCCGGCAAUUUCCAGCCAAGCUUCCCUCGCAUCUCUUUAUUUUAUUAUAUCCUUUCAUCCCUUCCUUUGAACCCAAUCUUAGGAAAAAUUAUGGAAAAGUUUGUAGGAGUAAAAAUCUAAAAAUACCUUUUAGGGUUUUUUUUUGAAUGGACUCUUAAAUUGUUGCAGUGUGAAUUAGGAGACACUAUAGUGUAGGCCAGUUGGAGGUGACCAAUGAAUUUAGACACUAUAGUGUAGUCUAAUGAUAAUAUUAGGAUUUAAAUAGAGGAGGCAUGUGAGGAUUCAUGUAUAUAUAUAUUUAGUCUCACAUCGGUUAUGCACUGAAUCGAUCUUAAAUAUUUGUGUAUGACCAAAAAAUCUAAAUAAUACUUUUCAACUAGUAUUUUGGAUGAGAUUCUGAAUGAAUAUUAUUUGAGUAAUAAAAGAGCCUAUUGAAUUCCUAUUUUGUAGCUGCUGAUCACCAACAAACGUUUCUAAUUUUUCAAGCAACCGAUCUAAACUUAUGGAAUUUAAAAAUAUCUAUAAAUUAUAAUUUAAUAAAUAAAGAUUUUGUGGAUGAAUAUUCAUUCUUUCAUUUGUAGGGCCCUUGCUCCGUGUUAUACUACGCUCAAUUACUAUUAGUCCUCGGAUCAUACAGUAAUAACAUGCAUAAUAAGAUCAUCCCUUUCAACAAAAAGAAAAAAAGAAAAAAAAGCCCCUACGUGCAGUAGCACACUGGUCCCAAAAACUAUGGGCUGGGCUGCACAUAGGAUCAUACAAAACAAAAGGUUUUGGAAUCCGGGGUGCGUUUAAUUGCAUUAAAAGGGACCGCCUGCAAUUUCAGUGAUGUCAGUUGGUACACGUUUGGUGUUUCAUGUACUGCAAGUGUAAAAUUUAGAUCUAAUUCCAAUUUCAAAAGGCAUUCCUGCAAGGCUGCAACCGAGACAAAUCAGCAAGGACAAUUGUGGACGCUCUUAGUGAAGUUGCACCCUGGUGUAACUCUAGAUCUUGCCAUGCUAGCUCCACCUAACAGAGCUUUAUCUGUACCUCUACAUUCAGAAAUUUGUGAACAUAUAUUACUUAUCAGAAUAUAAAAUUUAAAAACAAAGGUUCCAUGAGGAAUACCAACCAUGUUUCAUUGAGCUGGUUGUCAUCAAAGAUCCAGGAUUGGGCCAUCAUCUCAUAACAUGAGCCUUUUGCCAUUAACUAGUGAAGGACCAUAUAUGAUUUUUUUUUUUUUGUUGGUUCGGCGGUUUAAAUUGUUCUCACAUGAGCACAACCAGCUACAUCACUAUCAAGAAAACUACAUAGAGCAAAACGAACUGAGGACUGUUGAGUCCAUAGAAACUCUUCGGAAUGCUGGGCAACAAAAAAGACGACCCUAUCAGCCGCUUGGUUCGUCUCCCGAAGAACGUGUUUGAUUUAGAUCCCAUGCAUGUCAGACAGAAACGGAUGCUUCACCUUCUUCUAUCUUUCUGUCUGAAGACGAUCAAUCAAGACAGCAGAGUCCUCCUCUAAUAUAAUCCUAUCAGCCUCUAACACAUAUCUUGCAUAGGACCAUAUAUGAAAUGUGGUGGGAUCCAGGGAGAGAGUGACGAGGGGAUGAGGGGGAAAUGGAAAGGUGGCCAGGGGAGAGGAACCUUAAACGUCAAACAGCCUUGCGUUUCCCUGAGAAAAAGAAAAGAUAAACAAAGUGUGGCCCACCACCCUUCCCCACUUGCAUGGGUGAGGAGGGGGGUGGAAUGGAAGGAUGGGAGAAUGCAGUGUAUCCAACCCAAUGUCUGAAAACCGCCUCUGUGGAGUCCAUAGAUAUUCACUCGCAGCACCAAACAUCAGACAUAAAAAUGUGAGGCACCCCAUUUCAACAUCACAGGUAUUGCCUUUGUGCCUUUCAGGCAUCCCUCUGUUCGCCCUUUCCCAUCAAACAAGAUAGCUACCACCCUCUCUCUUCUCCCUCAAGCACUUUGUUUUGGUAUGUUCUUGUUUUGCAAGUAUGUCUUGAGGACUUGGGAGAAAAAGAGCAUGAAAGAAUACAUGUAGUGAUCUCUCUUGUCAUUGUUCUGUAUUGUUGUUGAUCUUGGUUUUAGAGGGUAGAUUCAUUCUAGGAGGGUUGGAAUGGCAAAGAGUUCAGUUCCAGAAGUGGCAAGUAUAAUGGGGCAGGUAUUCUUUUGCUUUUUCUUUCAUGCUGCUCUUUUUUGAUAUUUUCUUGUGGAUUUGGUGGUGAUAGGUCUAUGUUUGUUUCAAUAAUAAAUAAGGUCCUAAAUGGAAAAUUCUUUAUAAUUAUAAAAAAAAAAUCUUAGGUACAGCACAUUUUGAUCCUCUGAUGGAUGUUUUAGGUGAGGGUUCUCUAUCCCUCUGAUCAUCAAAUGAACAUCUAGAAUAAGGAAUCUUUUUUUUUUUUGUUGUGUGAUGCUGUGUGGAUAUGAUUUCCUCUUCUUUGUUGUUACUUUUAGUUCCUCUUCUUGUCCAUAUUUUGCACCUGAAUUUUUCAUUGUUUUGCCAGGAAAUUGCAUGUUAAAUCUGUUGGAUUGAUGUGGAUCCUCAUCCCAAAAUUUUCAUUUUUAACAGGUAAGUUUGAGUUAGAUCUUAUAUGACUCGAUGAUAUAACUAUGGAUCGGCCGCGAUUUCGACGAAAUUAGCAUCAGUGGAAUGCCAAAAUACUCCCAGAACUUGUGAAUCUGGUCACUGUUUUGGGGAGCUAUAUAUAACAACAUUCACUGUUCCUUUAAAACUAUUUGAUUCCGAAAGCUUCUGCAUCAAGAUCUCUGACUCCCAUUGUAGGAACAUCAACCCUUCAGACCAGACUAUAGCUAUCUACCUCGCAGUUUCCCACCCUCUUACGGUUUAACAACUCACAUUGUUGGUCUCAGAGUCCAUCUUUAGCUUUGUGAAGUCGAUAACAGGAACUUGAAAUUGCUAAGUAGUUUUGGUGUAUCAUAUCAUUCAGGAGAAGAAAGAGAAGGCUAUAUAUCAUUCUAGCUAUCAAGUAACAACCAUUGGGUUGCUCCACAAGAACGAGGGGAUUUUAAUGUAUUUUGAGACACCGAGCACAGAGUCAAGAUUGCCAAAAGUUCAGAACUUGAGGGCUUAUUGGGUUGGCGUGAUGGAAGGUGGUGAAAGGAGAGAUACAUCAACAAGUGGAUCAAGCAACAACAAUAAAAGGCCUCAGCAGCAUGGGCUCGACCGCAGAGCCUUCUCUUCCAACUAUUUCAGCAUGGAAUCAUUUCUGGUGCUCGUCUGCCUCACUGCAUCAUUGCUGAUUCUUCCACUGGUUCUGCCUCCAUUGCCUCCGCCACCUUUCUUGUUACUGCUGCUUCCUGUAUGCAUACUACUUGUGUUAAUAGUCUUGGCUUUCAUGCCCUCUGAUAUCCGGAAUAUCGCCUCCUCAUACUUGUAAAGAAGCUUCAUUUUAUAUCGAGACGAGCGGAAUGUGUUUUUCCUACUUUACUUUUGAAUGAUAAGAUCGACACUUGCAAAUUAAAUUUUUUCUGGCAUUCGGUGAAAUUUUCCUGCUAAAAUGGAGGUGAUUACAUGCCCAUGGAACGGAAUAACUUGAAUUUCGAUUGACCUUCGAAUCACAGUGAUGAUGAAACUGCUGAAUCCAUGCUAAAACUUGCAUAUUUUGCUAAUUGUUGAAUGCUUGCAUGCCAGAGUCGAGUAUUGCCGGUUUCUCAAAGAAAGCAACAACUAAGAAUCUUGAGCAUAUGGAGAGGUAUUUUAUUUUAUGAUUGAGGAUGUCUAUUUUUGUUUGGAUCGCAUUAGCGUCUUGAAAACUUUGUUCGAUAUAGACUGCACUUGAUAAAAACAGCCAUGUGUGGCCUAAUUUGUAGAAUCAAAUGGCUGGGAUAGUUGCAAUUCGGAAGCCCAUGGACUCUCGAGUUUGGUGUUUUGAAACUGGUUGAGUGUUUAGAAGUCUGGUCUUGGGAAGUGCUCCACAUUUUGGUGUGUUCAUCCUUUGUUGCGAGACAUAUGGGCUAUGGUGAGGGAUGGUGGGGCCUUUUAGGCCAAGCAUGUGUUCUGUGAAGCUAAUGGGACUGCAAAUUGGAUGACUGCUUAUAUAGCCAGCCACUCCAAUAGCAUUCUAUGAGUUGGUGAUGGGGAGUUGUCCUUAUACUCUAAGGCAUUCUACUUUUUGGCUUUAUUGGGUACAUUUCUACUCGUCAGGUAUAAUUUAUCCGCCUUAGCAAAAAUUAUAAGAAAAAAAAUGGUAGGUCAAUUGCUCUGGAUUUGCGAAAGAUCGGACGCAGACAGGAGAAAGAUCCUGUCGCUUGGUCAGCGGCGAGGAUUGGAUCUCGAUAUUUGAGAUAGAUGGGGCAAGAGAGGUACUGUCGCUUGGUCAGCAGCGAAGAUUUUUCCUGUUGCAGGUUGUCGCGUUUUGCAUGAUUUGGAUGACGAGAACUCAUCUCACUGUAGAAGAAUUAUCUAAUUUCACGUCCCACUUUGUGCGUCUUCCAAGCAAUAAGCAACACCUCGUUGGUGUUGCAUGAGCAAGGGAUGCUCUUUAUAAAAACAAAAAAUUAAUUAUAAAGAUAUAAUACAUAUAUAAUGCAAAUAAAAAAGAAAUAAGAGUUUUCAGUCGGUAUUAAACAAUUUUCUGCUUUCAAUUUGUUUAACUAUCAUCUGGAGACUAAUAUAUGAUAUAAAGUAUAGCACCUAGAAGUAAGGAUUGAGGUCCUACAGGCGUCCUGGCCAUUCCGUUCCGUUCCAGUGAGAUUACGGUAUAUGGAAACUCAUUUUUGUCUCCUAUCCCAAUAAUUUCACCUUUAUGCAGGCUAGGUCACGUGCCGAUACAGCUGCCCCGCUCGAGAUGUGCUCUAGGGUUUUUUUUUUUUUAUGAGACGAUGCUUCAACCGUCGUUGGGAGGAAGGGCUUACCUUUUUCUUGCUACUGAAGCGUCGGCGCUAGUGUCAUGCCGGGAGGGAGAUAGGUCGGUUCGUAGUCUCCUUCUAUUGUAUUUUUUUCACGGGCUCGAAGCCUCAGACCUCUCGGAAAUCCCAUCUUCUACGUUCUACGGGCUUGGAAUGCUUGGAAACAAUUUUCCCACUAUGAGUGUGAAGCUCGGCCUCAUUAGGCCGGCCUAUUGGCCCGACCCAGAUCGUGGCUUGAAGAGUUGUUUUAGUCAAAAACAGGGCAGAGCCUUGGUUGAUCACGGUGGAGGAGAAAGAGUACUCCUCACUACAAACUCAAUCGGAGUUUAUAGUGGAGGAUAAUCCUAGCCUCCACACCUAUUUAGAGCCCCCCAUGGACCUCCACCGACGAUCAUCAAUCUCCUUUCUCUCCCUUUUCUCCCUUUGAAAUCAUGGCUCUUUGUCACCGUACCUGCCAGAAAUCGGGGCUGUAGCGCUCAUCGGAGCCGGCAAGAACCCCGAAUUCUUCUUCUUUGGCCUCUCCUUUCCCUAUUGAUCUGUUGCUGGUCAGAUUCCACCAAGGAAUCGAUCGGAAAUCACUAUGAAACCCCUCCCAUGUUCCGCCUUUGAUCUCCACUUCUCUCCCUUUUUCGGCCAAUGCUUGUCAUUGACGUUCAACGCCGAAGCCAUCUGCCGCUUCCCUAUAUUAGGCCCUGGACGAAGCCGAACCCCGAGCCGUCGGUGAGCAGGCUGGCAUCCAAGUACACCGAGCUAAGAAAUUCUUCUUCUCAGCCUUUAGUUUGAUUUUUGGAUGGCCGAUCGCCGCCGCCGACUGCCCUUCGCCUCAUGUCUGAUGUCUUCAACUUUGGCUGCUACCUUGGUGAACCACCAUGAUUACAGCCACCAACCGCCUCUUUCUCUCUCUGUUUUGCCAAGAAAGAAGAAGAAAGAAAGAAGAGAAGGGAAGAAGAGGAGAGAGAAAGAGCCAUCACUCUUGUUUCUCUCUUAUUUUCUCUCUCUUCCUUCUCUCUUAUCUUCCUAUUUCUCUCUCUAAGAAGAUCUUUGGAUCCAUGAACCAAGUUUCAUUAACUUGAUCUAUGAACUCGAGUUGAUUCCUAAAAAGAGGCUUUAGACUGCCCUGGUGCUUGAGCCGCCUACUAUAUCGAUCAUCCCAGCCUUGUUGAAUAUUUUCGAAACCCCUAUUGAUGAAUCUUGUUAAUUGGUCUUGGCCUGAUUGAGUUCAAUUCAUUAAGCGAAUUGUCUAGACAGAACCUACCCGACACUACCAUAUGCUUGGUCAAGUCUUCUCGUAUUAUUUUAUUAAAGCCAUCAAUUAGAAAUUAAUUUCAACAUUAAUAUUUUAAACAAGUCUAAUGGAGUCGCCUAGCAAAAUCUGACAGUUUAAGACAAAAUAGGUAAGUAGAUCUUCCACUUCUUAUUAUUUGUCAAAUGAUCAUAUUUUCCAUGCAUAAAAUUUGCAUAUGAAAAAAUCAUACUUUUUUUAAAAGCAUAUGUGUUAUGAAAAUUAUGUUUUAUUAUGAAAAAUAGUUGCAUGAAUAUGUUGAUGAAAAUAGUUUUGUUAUGAAAUAUAAAUCUGAUCAUGCCAUUUAGCAUUUUUCAUCUAUUAUAUAUAUAUAUUCUAAGAAAAAGAUAUAAAUUUUUUAAAGGCUCUCAGAUUACUAUGAUUGUCUCUAGAAAUGGAGCCAAUUGACACCCUGGAGCUAGCAUCCAAUGAAAACGACCCUCUGCCAACAGGUUAAAGUUAGUAAUAAAUACGAACUAUAAUAUCUUAUCAAUUACCAAGAUGGCUCUGUCAUAAGUUCUAAUGACAAUGACACGAAUAUCUGUAAGUAAUAUUUUGAUCCAUGAUAAGAUUAAAUGAUGUGAAGAAUGUUUUACAAAUUUAUUUACAAUAUAAACUUGGAACUAUAUUUAUGAAAUAUUGAUGAUUUGUUCAUGCAUGAUUAGCUAUAUUUUUAAUAUACUAUACUAUAAAUUGCUUAUUUUAGAAUAUAUGUUAUUUUUCUUAAAAUAUGCAUUGAUAUGAAAAAACUUAUGCUUGAUCCUGUAAAAUAGUGAAAGGUGUACCUACUGAGCUGUGACACUCAUAUAUCUCUAUUUUUAUUUUUCUCUGUUUCCGGACGAAUAGGAUCGAUAGAAACGAAAGAUGGUCCUGACUUGGAGUUACUGCUAACAAGGUUGGCGAUUUUAUAGAAAAAUUUUAGUAUUUUAAAUUGAGGUGGGAUGCAGGGUGUCCUAUUCGGUGCGUAAACAGAUAGCACCCGUCUUGCAGGAUUUAAAUUCUUGCCUACAAGUCUGCACCUUUUCUCCUAUAGGCUAUUUAUAGAUACAUCAUGCCAUGUUUCUACUUUGAAGCAACGCUAAUCCCCAGGUGUUUGCGAUGAAAAACCAUCAAAGGUUGUCUCUGGUUUUCACUCUAAUGGCAAAGAAGGAUUCAUAAUGUGAAAAUAAGGUAAAUAAUGGGCAUGGCAUGCAUUUCCUUCCCUUCUAAAGCUUACGUUUGCCUUAUCUACUACUUGCAAAUUCUAAGUUACUUUCAAAAAAAAGAAGUCUCUUCUCCAAGAGAUUCUCCAUGGUUGUCUGAGAAAUUUUACAGAACUAUUUAUCAUUUGGUGGCUAUGGCUAUUUCCUCUAGCCUAGGGUUAUUUUGCAUCUCAUUGCAGACCAACUCAGCUGUCCAAGAGUAAUUCCAAACUCUUAAUUCCUCCAUUGCUGCUGCUGCUACUUUUUAAUGACUUGUACUGGAAUUGUGAGGGCUGGUUUGCUCGUAAUUGGGCUCGGCAGUUCUGACUCAAAACGUUAAAAUUCUGAGGCUCAGAAUGACACAGGAUGAAGAAUUACAAGGUAUUUUCUAGUUAUGUUGAUGGAGAAACAAAAUCAAAUGCUUGCAGUUGGCAAAGCCAGUGCCAGGGCCCCAGCUGGGUUUUUGAUGGAGAUACCUUAUCCUUUAUCAUUAUUACUUCAAGCCCGUGCCGGUGAUGGUUUCUUGAGACAAGGAUAUGUUUGUCUACUAUCUAUGAAUCUGGUCAUCUAUAUAAAUGUUCCUACUGUUUGAUUUCUCUCUCCUACUAAUGAAAGGGUUUAUAUCAAUGCUCCAACCUUUUAAACAUGCUUAAAAGGUGGCGGAGACCCUACGUAGCUACCAGCCAAAAGUCUAUAGCAACAAGAUCUGCUGAAGGAUUACGAAUACUGCUGAUGAGUCGUAGACCAAAUCAGUCGUGACAUUUGAGUUUGUUGCCCGCCGCCGCCGCCGCCACCACCACCACCACCACCAUCACCACCACAUUCUGAUGAAGAAGAGACUACCGUGGUUGGGAUCAAUGCCAUUGACCAAGUGAUCACCAUGGCCUCCACUUCCUUCAACCUUGCACUGUUUGUUCUUCUCGUCGUCGACCACUACCUCUUCGAGAUGAUGAAGUCUCCAUCCUUCAUCCGGUCUUAGUGUCGGCAAGUUAUCAUUGCAGGGUAAUUGACGUUUUGUCAGCACUGGAUCCACUCGAAGCCACCGAGAGAGACCGAGAGAUCUUCGCGGCAGUGAAAAAUUGCUAUCUAUGACAAGGAAAGAAGUCGACUCGCUAGGUUCGAGAAUUUCUUUUUUAUUUAUUUAUCUGAAUGACAGCGUCUUGUAUAGUUGUAAAAAAAAAAUUUACAUAUACACCUUCUUAUACAUUCGAAAUUGCAUGAUUAUCUUGAUAAAAUUAUUAUUUAUGUGUAUAUCUUUAUAAAAUAUUUAUUUUGUAGUUAUUUUUUUAUUUUUUUUCAUAUAUACCUAUAUGAUUGAAAGUUAUUAAAAAAAUGAACAGAUUAAAAUUAAAAUAACUAAAAUAUUCUUAAAUUUUUUAUAAAAAUUAUAUAUAUUUAGAGGAUAUACACUCAAAAGCAACUUUAUAAAAUUAUAAUGAAGGAUGGCAGUUUAAACCAUGGGCUACCAGCAUUUUAAAACUAACGGCAGGUGACAGAUACAAAAGCAAUAUUUUUAUUUUUUCAGAAAAAAAAACUUUUUUUUUGGAAAAAAACUAUUUUUUUGGUGAAAAACGGUAAUUUAUAUAUCUCUAACGUAAGUACAGCCUGUCAGAUCAACAGAAAAUAAAGAGCACAGGAGAUAGAAAAUAUCGCUUAUGGAAGUCCAGGGGACCUCCCCAAAAUGUCAAGCGAUGAAGGAAGCAACCUAGUCUGCUGCUCGAUUCGCCUCCCGAAAUAUAUGUGCUACCUGAAGAUCACUCAUCUCCCGAACCAUUCUGCGAGAUGCUCUGAUGAGAGGGUGACCAUCUCCAAACCUAUCCAGACCACGUAUCUAGUCAAUCACCACAGAAAAAUUCUUCCUCGAGGAACACCCGCUCGGCAUCGAGAAUCCUCCUCGCAUAAAACUAUUCCAUAUUACCUAAUUACCUACUUUUGUACAGUUCAAACCAUUUUAAGCCUACAGUGGUGUGUUAGAUACGAGACAUAUAUCAAAAGGGUAAUGGAUCGCAUGACUAGAACAGCAUGCAAUUGCCCUGACUGUUAUGAAUAACAAGUGUAUCAAAGUCAGUGACACUUCAUUUUCAAUGAAAUAGCCGGCAGAAGGCCUGCUCAUGAACAAGAAUCAAGCUUCCAGGCCAUCUCUCAAGGCAUGCCGCAUGAGCUUUUUAUGGCGGCAAACGGCUUCUGCAAAAGAAGAACCGCAUCACCAUCAGCCUUGCAUGCGGAAUCCCGGCGACGUUCGCCGGUCCAGGCGAGCUCGCCUUGGAACCCUAAUCCAAGUUGCAACUGAGAUUUAACAGCAUGUGAUUUUAGACACCAUAUUCGGCAGUAGCUUGAGAGUAAAUUCAGACAAGGAGCUGCACAUUCUCAGUACAUCAAGAAAGAGGGAUGAUGCCACCAUAUAUAUCAGGUAAUGAGGAAAUACAACAGUGCUCGAAACUAGAAUCUCACAACCAUUUUCCCAACCACAUGGCUAAACCAUUCAAAGACACCCUCCUCCAGUAGCCAUCCCUGCUACUCUUUAAUACAAAUGCACAGGGAAUACUGUAUAGAGUAUUCAUAGAUCAAAGGAUUAACACAAAAUAUAUGCAUCCUUCGAAUCCAUGUUAUGUUAUGCUGGGACUCACCGUAGGGGCAUGGAUAGAGUGCUUGGAGAUUGGAUCAAGAAGCGAGGCAGGUGAUGCUCCAAAACUGCCAGGAGCUCUUUACCCUGGCUCCCUCUAUCCACCGGCCGGUUGCCGAGCCUACUUGCAGCCUCAACAAGCUGCCCUCUCAGCCUCUGCGGCAGUAGCUGCCCGCCUGCUUGCACACACUCCCUGUACAGUGGCAAGUAGGCGAUGGCCGUCGCUAGGGGUGACGGCAGGUCCCUCAGGCAAAUGGGUGAACAACCCCUCCUUAGAAUCCUCAUAAAAUUCACGUAGUGCUCCUGCCCAGAGCUCAUCCCUUCAGAGAAUGCAGCCUCUGACCAGUGUUCCCUGAGAAAAGCCUUCAGCUCUGGGGCCACUGCCUCAUCAUUGGACCUGGAAAUGCUGUCAGCAACAGAAUAUGUAGCAGCAGGGUCACUUAAGAAGUCGGAACGAAGAAGAAAAGCGACACCAUCGAGGGACCCGCUGCUCCUCUCUCCAGCAGCCUUGAGGAUCUCGAUGCUGAGGGCUGCAAGGACAUGUUGGGGGACAUGGGGGAGGAGAUACCCAGCAAUGCCCACCUGGCUGCUGGAGGUGGCUGCAGUGAGCGCGAGACACAGCUCCAUGUCCCUGCAUCCCCGGUUGACAAACCACUGGACAACUUGCAUACACCCCCGCUCAGCAGCUCGCAUCAGCGGGCCCAGGAAGGCUGCAGCAUUCCCCUCUUCAACCAAGCAUUCCAUGGUUCCAAUCUUACAGUAGUGGGAUGCAAAGCCAAGAGCAAGAUCAACAUCCACAUCCAAGCUGUUCCUUUGAGCAAUCUGCAUAAGAAUUCACAAAUGAUGAAGUUCAAAAGCAGAGAAUAAGCAUCAUAUUUUGGCCACAUGUCCAGACAUGAUACGCCAUCAACAUAAGUUGGUAAUUUCAAUGUUGUAGGCAAAGCAGGCGGUAUUUUAUUUAUGAACACUGUUCAAUACCAUGACCUAAGUUCAAGCAUUUAGUUGCUUCCCUCCCAGCAACAGAGCUGUAUCAUCAUCUUUCCUUUUAAUUGCAUGAACAAUAAGUCCCACAACUCUCCCUCUCUUUCCGACAGGAAUCUCAAAAUCUUGGACGUAAUUGGUUUCAGAAUGUAGAGAUCCAUGCAGAAACAAGUGAGAUUAUCAAUUGUUUCUCCUCGUUGUCCACAUGUGAUUAAAACCUCUCUUCAGCAGUUCUCCAUGCAAAUAUGUUUCAUAGAGUCACCACCAAUAUUAAAAAAACAUAAACCAAUGUGUUUCAAUUAGAGCCAAAAUUCUUCUUUCAGCUUUCCAAGGAUAUUUGGAUAGACUUAGUCAUGAGUUCAGUUAGUUUGCCAGAUUCACGUCUCAAAUAUGUCAACAGAUUAAAUUCUAGAACCCCAAUUUGAUUUGUGAAUGAUCAGACUUCCAAAUCCAGCAGCCUCCACUGUACCUUCAAAGACCACACCUUUUUCCCCUCUCUUCACUACAAGAAGUCUGAAAGUGUAAUCAUGAUCAGCAGCAGAAGUAUCAAAAGAACAGACAUUCAAGAAAAGGAAACCAUUUUACUCAAAAGUGUUCUCAUAACCAUAUCACACUCGGCAACGCUAACUUGGCUCCAAUCCAAUGCUGCCUCCUUCAGCUAGUCACCUAUCAAAAAUCACCAAGCAAUAUUUCUGCCAAAAAAUGUUGCAUUUUUUUUUUGAAUUUCCGGACCAAAGUAUAUCUUCCAUACAUGUAGUAAACCCAAAACACCCUCCAUUCACAGCCCCCCUCCCUCUCUCCUCUUCCACUAACAAUGAACUCAUAUUACCCUAAGAUUAGACUCUUCAAGUAUCUUAAUUGGUGACAAUCGACAUAAUUAGGGUCCUGAUAUUAGCAUGUAAUUUGAGGCUUAAAAUGAUGAUGAAAUAGCAUAUCAGCAAACUUGAAAUCAGCUCGAAAGAGGACUACAUCUAUGAAGAUGGAGAAAUAUGGGAUUUUGUCCUAUGAUUUUAUAUUGUAGGGUGCUAAUUGUAGAUGAACUUUACCCUAUUAUCAUAGUAUAUGUUGUUUGUAUGUAAUAUAGUCUUGAUUGAUGAAAAUAGAACAGUGUUAAAUGCUAAAUUGGAUCAGCAGAACAAAAUCAUGAAGGACAAGGGCUUAAAAUCAGCCGAUUAAAAAUAGUGUACGUGGAAUUCUACUUCAGUUAAAAUAGCCAGCCAAGAUUAACAGACCAGGUAGACCACACAGGUUUGAAUUCAUAAAUUGGGAUAUGUUUUCUCAAAUCAUGAUAGAAACCAAGCUGGUUGGAUGAAAUGGAGGGGUACUUAUGAGGUAUUAUGUGAGGUACUUAUGAGGUAUUAUGUGACUAACUUAUAACUUGACAACUUAUAAAGAAAAUAAAGAGCGACAAAUAAAACCUAAAAAAUUGUAUGGCUAAUAGUAUUGGGGAAUAAAGAGGGUCCAAGAAAAAAGUUUAAAUGCAGCAAAAACUAAAUGUUGAGAUGGAAUGUGGAAAAACUAGGAAGAAUAAAGGGAGGAGCUGUAAGGUUUGCACAAAUCAAGGACAAAGUGAUGACAAAUUGAUAGAAAUGGUGUGGAGCCACAGAAUGAAGAUCUCCAAGACUCCAGCAAUGCAUAGUACUUUGAUCUUUGCUGAAGGAUAUAGGAAGAGAAGAAGGGAUAGUGUAACAAAAAUGGAAAUUGUAAGAAAGAAAAUAUGGAAACCUGACAAUAACAUCAUAUUUUAUUGCAAACAGGUAUUGUUAUCAUAUGAGGAUUCAUAAAGCUUGACUCCAAAUAGUUUUCACAAGCCUUGAUUGUUAUGGUUACGGUUUAGAAAUUAGUAUGCUUAGACAAAAGAUAGAACAAAGGCUUCAGAUUUCAUGCUAAGAUAAAUAAAUUUAUUUUGACAAGUCUGGAUGUGGAUAAACCUACAGAGGAUGAAAUGAAGUGCAAAAGUAAAUAAUAGUGAGAGAUGCUAAGGAUAAUCCAAGGGAGCUUCUGUCAUUGGAAACCCCAAGAUUAUUGCCUAGUAUAAAGGUCAAGACCUGAACACCUCCUAUGACAGUCGCACCAUAAAAUUGAAGAAAGAGGAUUGCUUUUAAGAGAAACUUCCAAAAGCUAAUGCCUAAAUAUCACCCCUAGAGAACUGUGUCCACAAAGACUAUUGAAGCAGCUUUAAACACUAGGACACUCCUAGCAAGAUGAAGACACAAAAUACAAAUAGUACAAAUAAUUUCUACGCAAAUUGUGGAUCCUCAGCUUAUGCAAACUUACGGCAUGUUGCAUCACAUUUAACCACACAUGAUCAUUUAUGAAAAUAACAUGAUGUUUUAAAAUGUCACAUGAUAAUUUAACUAAUCACUCUACAACUUGAACAUGGCAAUAAUAAGGCAUAUUACAACUUAAGAAGUCCCAGGAACCAAUCAGAAUAUCAAAACAAAAAAUGAGUACAAGGAUUACAUCAAAAUAAACAAAAAAAGAGAUACAAAAGCUACUCAUUACACCACUAAACCCUUGUAAGGUACUCUUGCAUUAGUUGACUUUGUUUACUUUCAUUACAAAAUGAAACCAUGCACCAUUUGUUUCGCGUGAGCCUAUGAGUUACAGUUUAAUCAGCGAUAUGUGCCAGGAAUGGUUCAAGUAUGAUGUCAGACAUCUUCAUAUUAUGUCUUUAUUUUAAAGACACUGAAAAUUAUUGAAAAAGAAUAAACUUUGGCCUCAAAAGCAACUUUUUGUGUAUAUAGUGCAUCUUUCCCACGUUGGAGUGCAUUUUAUGUCAGCAGCAUGGCAAGUAAGGCAUGCACAACAUAAUGUACAAGUUUUGGUACCAAGUAAUACCAGCUUGUAACCAGCAUAAAAAAAAAUCCCACGUGCUUCUUCAAAAUAUAACCCCAAAAAAAUUACCACAUAAUGGUCAUCAUAGCACAACAUACAUCACCAUCGCAGCACAACAUGCAUCACCUAUUCUACCAAGGAAAGUUCUACCAAUGCAAUAGUAUUGUUUACUUGUUCUUUGCAUAACCUCAGCAGGCAACUGUCGCCAUGUAUCAAAUGACAUCCAUCUGACCUGUUUUACUUCUUAAUCUAUCACCCUACAAUUUGGUUCUUAUAUACUGAUUUACAGAUAAGAACAAUAAAACAAUCUCAAUGUAUAAUUCAUCAAAAAACACUCAAGAUCAAGAUUAAAAAUAACUGAAACAUUCUAGUAUUUGAUCCAAGUCCAACUAAACAAAAGAUUGCCAGUUACUGGUAUAUGAAAGAAUUCUAAAAUAAUACUUUGCAAAGACUUUUGAGCCCUGAGGAAGUUACUGAGCAUUCUUUUAAAAUUUCCAAAAUAUGAAUCGAAAUAAAAUGAGAAUUAGACUGAGGUAACCGCCAUUUAUAUCUAGUGCAGAACUAUUAAGCUUAUCUGCCAUGUAAGUGGGUUAUGGUCGUACCUUGCAGAUUACUUUGAAUGACAAAUAUAUGCUUUUCCAUCCAUAAAUGGUCCACCUUUAAAAGUCAAGUCCAAUAACUGUAUCCUAAAUUAAAUGCUUUAUCUUUGCUACUUCACCAAAAUUUUCCGUUGGAGGAACUGUAUGUCACUGCCAUAACUCUCUCUCUCUCUC
rnacentral:lncRNA from 1 species